rnacentral:rRNA from 1 species
CUGGAACGCGCCCCAGGCGCACCCAGAAACCCUUUGUGAACUUAUACCUUACUGUUGCCUCGGCGCUAGCUGGUCCUUCGGGGCCCCUCACCCUCGGGUGUUGAGACAGCCCGCCGGCGGCCAACCUAACUCUUGUUUUUACACUGAAACUCUGAGAAUAAAACAUAAAUGAAUCAAAACUUUCAACAACGGAUCUCUUGGUUCUGGCAUCGAUGAAGAACGCAGCGAAAUGCGAUAAGUAAUGUGAAUUGCAGAAUUCAGUGAAUCAUCGAAUCUUUGAACGCACAUUGCGCCCUCUGGUAUUCCGGAGGGCAUGCCUGUUCGAGCGUCAUUUCAACCCUCAAGCCUGGCUUGGUGAUGGGGCACUGCCUGUAAAAGGGCAGGCCCUGAAAUUCAGUGGCGAGCUCGCCAGGACCCCGAGCGCAGUAGUUAAACCCUCGCUCUGGAAGGCCCUGGCGGUGCCCUGCCGUUAAACCCCCAACUUCUGAAAAU